AACUAUAACGGUCCUAAGGUAGCGAAAUUCCUUGUCAGGUAAGUUCUGACCCGCACGAAAGGCGUAAUGAUUUGGGCGCUGUCUCGGCAGCAGACUCGGUGAAAUCUUAGUACCUGUGAAGAUGCAGGUUACCCGCAACUAGACGGAAAGACCCCAUGGAGCUUUACUGUAGCCUGAUAUUGAAUUUUGAUCAAAGAUGUACAGGAUAGGUGGGAGGCGAAGAAGAUUGCACGCCAGUGUAGUCAGAGCCGCUGUUGGGAUACCACUCUUGUUUGAUUGAAGUUCUAACCUGCACCCAUGAACUGGGUGAGGGACCGUGUCAGGUGGGCAGUUUGACUGGGGCGGUCGCCUCCUAAAGAGUAACGGAGGCGCCCAAAGGUACGCUCAGAUUGGAUGGAAAUCAAUCGACGAGUGCAAAUGCAGAAGCGUGCUUGACUGUGAGACAAACAAGUCGAACAGGGACGAAAGUCGGGAUUAGUGAUCCGGCGGUGCCGAAUGGAAGGGCCGUCGCUCAACGGAUAAAAGCUACCCUGGGGAUAACAGGCUGAUCUCGCCCAAGAGUUCACAUCGACGGCGAGGUUUGGCACCUCGAUGUCGGCUCAUCGCAUCCUGGAGCUGAAUUCGGUUCCAAGGGUUGGGCUGUUCGCCCAUUAAAGCGGUACGCGAGCUGGGUUCAGAACGUCGUGAGACAGUUCGGUCCCUAUCUGUUGUGGGCGUUGGAGAUCUGAGGAGAGCUGUCCUUAGUACGAGAGGACCGGGAUGGACGUACCUCUGGCGCACCAGUUGUUCCGCCAGGAGCAUAGCUGGGUAGCUAAGUAGGGAAGGGAUAAGCGCUGAAAGCAUCUAAGCGCGAAGCCUACUCCAAGAUGAGAUCUCCCAUUCGUAUAACGAAGUAAGACCCCUUGAAGACGACAAGGUAGAUAGGUCAGAGAUGGAAGUGUAGCGAUACAUGGAGUUGACUGAUACUAAUAGGUCGAGGACUUAAUCAC
rnacentral:rRNA from 1 species